CCAGUCCGCUGUUUGGAACCCUUUCUCCUCCCUCUGAAACAUCAGAGCCCAGCAUCCUGGAAACCUGUGCCCUAAUCAUGAAGAUAAUUUGCUUGGAGAUAUACUAUGUAGUUAAGUGAGUACUUUCCCCUCUUGAGAUUUUAACUGAAGGUUGGGGGAGUGGGAGUUGGUGGCCUACCACUGGGUGCAUGGCUGGAAGAGCCAAGGCAGAGGAGAGAACUGGUUUGGAACCAUUCAUGGAGGGCCAGUGAGCUCUGUUCCUGGCCAAUCCACCGAAGGCAUUUAUGAUUGUCAGAAGGAGUUAUUGUGAAACAAACUCCAUGCAACUGGGAUUUUGUGGAGGAGGAAUCCUGGAAAGGCCUCAGCCUAACCCACACGUUGAAGGUGUCCUG
rnacentral:sRNA from 1 species